UACGGAGGGUGCGAGCGUUAUUCGGAAUUACUGGGCGUAAAGCGCGUGUAGGCGGGGAGACAAGUCUGAUGUGAAAGCCUUGGGCUUAACCCGGGAAGUGCAUUGGAAACUGUUUUUCUUGAGUACUGGAGAGGAAGGGGGAAUUCCCGGUGUAGAGGUGAAAUUCGUAGAGAUCGGGAGGAAUACCAGUGGCGAAGGCGCCCUUCUGGACGGCUACUGACGCUGAGACGCGAAAGCGUGGGGAG
rnacentral:rRNA from 1 species